AGAAAUCCACUGAUUCUUUUAAUGUGACCUAAAGACUUAACAAUUAAACAAAUUUUUUUCAGAAUCAAUCCCAAUUCUUAUAGCAACUCGUAUGGAUAUUUUAUCUAAAAAACAUGAGAAAAGGCUUUCCUCGGCAUAGCAGAAAGUUUUUAGUUGAUGUGUAAAUUAUUAAUCAGAGAUAAAUGGAGACAAAAGAUGACUCACGGAAUCCACUCGAGGAAUCUUGU
rnacentral:misc_RNA from 1 species